GAAAGUAAGCAAGGGCAGACGGUGGAUGCCUUGGCUCUCGGAGGCGACGAAGGACGUGAUAAGCUGCGAAAAGCCCGGGGGAGGCGCAAAUAGCCCUUGAUCCCGGGAUAUCCGAAUGGGGCAACCCGGCAGGCUGAAGGCCUGCCAUCCCGUAAGGGAGGCGAACGUGGGGAACUGAAACAUCUAAGUACCCAUAGGAGGAGAAAAUAAACAAUGAUUCCGUAAGUAGUGGCGAGCGAACACGGAAGAGCCCAAACCCAUGUCGUCUAGGCGACACGGGGGUUGUAGGACCACGACGUGGCAAGAAGGAAGGGAAAUGGAACGACUUGGAAAAGUCGGCCAUAGACGGUGAAAGCCCGGUACAUGACUCCCUUACGAAGCCUAGUGGUAUCCUGAGUAGCGCGGGGCACGAGAAAUCUUGCGUGAAUUAGCGGGGCCCAUCCCGUAAGGCUAAAUACUCCCGAGAGACCGAUAGCGAACCAGUACCGUGAGGGAAAGGUGAAAAGAACCCCGAGCAGGGGAGUGAAAUAGACCCUGAACCCGUCUGCCUACAAGCGGUCGGAGCGUCGUAAUGACGUGACGGCGUGCCUUUUGCAUAAUGAACCUACGAGUUACCUUCCCCGGCAAGGUUAAGUACCUAAGGUACGGAGCCGAAGCGAAAGCGAGUCUGAACAGGGCGCCAAGUCGGGGGGGGUAGACGCGAAACCGAGUGAUCUACCCUUGGCCAGGUUGAAGGUUGGGUAACACCAACUGGAGGACCGGAUGGGUAAGCGUUGAAAAGCUUUCCAAUGAGCUGAGGGUAGGGGUGAAAGGCUAAUCAAACUCGGAGAUAGCUCGUACUCCCCGAAAUGCAUUUAGGUGCAGCCUCUUUAUAGUAUAUCGUGAGGUAGAGCGACUGAUUGGAUGCGAGGGCUUCACCGCCUAUCAAGUCCAGAUAAACUCCGAAUGCGCGAUAUAUAUUUACAGGGAGUGAGGGCGCGGGUGCUAAGGUCCGUGUCCGAGAGGAGAAGAAUCCAGACCACCGGCUAAGGCCCCCAAAUGAUCGUUAAGUUGAACUAACGAGGUCGGAUCGCAGAGACAGCUAGGAUGUUGGCUUGGAAGCAGCCAUUCAUUUAAAGAGUGCGUAACAGCUCACUAGUCGAGCGAUCUGGCGUGGAUAAUAAUCGGGCAUAAACGAUCUGCCGAAGCCGUGGAUGUCGCAAGACAUGGUAGGGGAGCAUUCCAUGCGGCGUCGAAGAUGAGGGAUGACCCUUGUUGGAGCGCAUGGAAAAGCAAAUGUAGGUAUGAGUAACGAUAAGGGGGGCGAGAAACCCCCCCGCCGAAAGACCAAGGUUUCCUGAUCAACGCUAAUCGGAUCAGGGUGAGUCGGGACCUAAGGCAAAGCCGAACGGCGCCGCCGAUGGAAGAAUGGGUUAAUAUUCCCAUACUGCCUCAUGGAGUGACGUGGAGACGGAGAAGUGACAGUCCUGCCGGCUGACGGAAUAGCCGGUUGAAGGGUGUAGAUAUUGAUUCCCGUAGGCAAAUCCGCGGGGAGAGUCGAACCUGAGAGUAUACGGAGCGCUUGCGCAACGUAAUAUGGACGUAACCAUGCUCCCGAGAAAAUCCGCUAAACUUAUCCAUGCGGCACCCGUACCGUAAACGGACACACGUGGUCGGGUUGAGAAUACUGAGGCGCUCGAGUGAUUCACGGUUAAGGAACUAGGCAAAUUGACCCUGUAACUUCGGGAUAAAGGGUCCUCGUCGUAAGGCGAGGCGCAGAGAAUAGGUCCAGGCAACUGUUUAACAAAAACACAUGGCUGUGCUAAAUGGAAACAUGAUGUAUACAGCCUGACACCUGCCCGGUGCCGGAAGGUUAAGAGGAGAUGUCAUCCGCGAGGAGAAGCGUUGAAUUGAAGCCCCGGUAAACGGCGGCCGUAACUAUAACGGUCCUAAGGUAGCGAAAUUCCUUGUCGGGUAAGUUCCGACCUGCACGAAUGGUGUAAUGAUCUGGACACUGUCUCAACCGUGAGCUCGGUGAAAUUGUAGUAUCGGUGAAGAUGCCGAUUACCCGCGAUGGGACGAAAAGACCCCGUGAACCUUUACUAUAGCUUUACAUUGAGUUUGGGCAGACGAUGUGUAGGAUAGGCCGGAGGCAUUGAAGCAGGUACGCCAGUAUUUGUGGAGCCGACGUUGAAAUACGGCCCUUCGGUUGUUUGAGUUCUAACUCCUAGUUAGGAGGACACUGUAUGGUGGGUAGUUUGACUGGGGUGGUCGCCUCCAAAAGCGUAACGGAGGCUUCUAAAGGUGCCCUCAGACCGAUUGGUAACCGGUCGCAGAGUGUAAUGGCAUAAGGGCGCUUGACUGGGAGACAUACAAGUCGAUCAGGUAGGAAACUAGAGCAUAGUGAUCCGGUGGUUCCGCAUGGAAGGGCCAUCGCUCAAAGGAUAAAAGGUACUCCGGGGAUAACAGGCUGAUCAUUCCCAAGAGCUCAUAUCGACGGAAUGGUUUGGCACCUCGAUGUCGGCUCGUCACAUCCUGGGGCUGGAGAAGGUCCCAAGGGUUGGGCUGUUCGCCCAUUAA
rnacentral:rRNA from 1 species